GUUGAAAUACUGUGUCCCAUAUGAUCACUGAAGUUAAGCAACACCAAGCCUGAUCAACACCUGGAUGGAUGACCACUUGGGAAUACCAGGGGCUGUAAG